rnacentral:rRNA from 1 species
ACUUAGUGGCGGACGGGUGAGUAACGCGUGAGGAACCUGCCUCGGAGUGGGGAAUAACAAUCGGAAACGAUUGCUAAUACCGCAUGAAGCAACGGGAUCGCAUGAUUUUGUUGCCAAAGAUUGAUCGCUCUGAGAUGGCCUCGCGUCCGAUUAGGUAGUUGGCGGGGUAAAUGCCCACCAAGCCGACGAUCGGUAGCCGGACUGAGAGGUUGGCCGGCCACAUUGGGACUGAGAUACGGCCCAGACUCCUACGGGAGGCAGCAGUGGGGAAUAUUGGGCAAUGGGCGCAAGCCUGACCCAGCAACGCCGCGUGAAGGAAGAAGGCCCUCGGGUUGUAAACUUCUUUUAAGAGGGACGAAGGAAGUGACGGUACCUCUUGAAUAAGCCACGGCUAACUACGUGCCAGCAGCCGCGGUAAUACGUAGGUGGCAAGCGUUAUCCGGAUUUACUGGGUGUAAAGGGCGUGUAGGCGGGGGAGCAAGUCAGACGUGAAAACUCAGGGCUCAACUCUGAGCUUGCGUUUGAAACUGUUUUUCUUGAGUGAUGGAGAGGCAGGCGGAAUUCCGUGUGUAGCGGUGAAAUGCGUAGAUAUACGGAGGAACACCAGUGGCGAAGGCGGUCUGCUGGACAUUAACUGACGCUGAAGCUCGAAAGCGCGGGUAUCGAACAGGAUUAGAUACCCUGGUAGUCCGCGCGGUAAACGAUGGAUGCUCGCUGUUGGCGAUACACGGUCAGCGGCCAAGCGAAAGCGUUAAGCAUCCCACCUGGGGAGUACGCCGGCAACGGUGAAACUCAAAGGAAUUGACGGGGGCCCGCACAAGCGGAGGAACAUGUGGUUUAAUUCGAUGAUACGCGAGGAACCUUACCCGGGCUUGAAUUGCAGGAGAACGAUACAGAGAUGUUGAGGCCCUUUGGGGCUCCUGUGAAGGUGCUGCAUGGUUGUCGUCAGCUCGUGCCGUGAGGUGUUGGCUUAAGUGCCAUAACGAGCGCAACCCCUUUCCUCAGUUGCCAUCGGGCGAUGCCGGGCACUCUGGGGACACUGCCUCCGUAAGGAGUGAGGAAGGUGGGGAUGACGUCAAAUCAGCACGGCCCUUACGUCCGGGGCUACACACGUGUUACAAUGGGACAUACAGCGCGUCGGCGUCCGGCAACGUGCGUCAAAUCGUGAAAGUGUCCCCCAGUUCGGAUUGGGGUCUGCAACCCGACCCCAUGAAGCUGGAUUCGCUAGUAAUCGCGCAUCAGCCAUGGCGCGGUGAAUACGUUCCCGGGCCUUG